rnacentral:rRNA from 1 species
GUUGUAUGGUUAAGUGACUAAGCGUACACGGUGGAUGCCUUGGCAGUCAGAGGCGAUGAAAGACGUAGUAACUUGCGAUAAGCCCAGAUUAGGUAGUAACAACCAUUUGAGUCUGGGAUUUCUGAAUGGGGAAACCCACGUGCAUAAGCACGUAUCCUUACCUGAAUACAUAGGGUAAGGAGGCGAACCGGGGGAACUGAAACAUCUAAGUACCCCGAGGAAAAGAAAUCAACCGAGAUUCCGAAAGUAGCGGCGAGCGAAAUUGGACUAGCCCUUAAGCUUUACACGCGUUAGACGAACGGUCUGGAAAGUCCGACGAUACAGGGUGAUAGUCCCGUAGUUGACGACGUGUGUUCAGUGAAAUCGAGUAGGGCGGGACACGUGAUAUCCUGUCUGAAUAUGGGGGGACCAUCCUCCAAGGCUAAAUACUACUGACUGACCGAUAGUGAACCAGUACCGUGAGGGAAAGGCGAAAAGAACCCCUGUGAGGGGAGUGAAAUAGAACCUGAAACCGUGUACGUACAAGCAGUAGGAGCAGGCUUGUCCUGUGACUGCGUACCUUUUGUAUAAUGGGUCAGCGACUUAUAUUCAGUGGCAAGGUUAACCAUCUAGGGGAGCCGUAGGGAAACCGAGUCUUAACUGGGCGUUCAGUCUCUGGAUAUAGACCCGAAACCAGGUGAUCUAGCCAUGGGCAGGUUGAAGGUUGAGUAACAUCAACUGGAGGACCGAACCGACUAAUGUUGAAAAAUUAGCGGAUGACUUGUGGCUAGGGGUGAAAGGCCAAUCAAACCUGGAGAUAGCUGGUUCUCCCCGAAAGCUAUUUAGGUAGCGCCUCGGACGAAUACUACUGGGGGUAGAGCACUGUUAAGGCUAGGGGGUCAUCCCGACUUACCAACCCUUUGCAAACUCCGAAUACCAGUAAGUACUAUCCGGGAGACACACGGCGGGUGCUAACGUCCGUCGUGGAGAGGGAAACAACCCAGACCGCCAGCUAAGGUCCCAAAUUACUACUAAGUGGGAAACGAUGUGGGAAGGCUCAGACAGCCAGGAUGUUGGCUUAGAAGCAGCCAUCAUUUAAAGAAAGCGUAAUAGCUCACUGGUCGAGUCGGCCUGCGCGGAAGAUGUAACGGGGCUAAGUAGUAAACCGAAGCUGCGGCAAUACUCUUUGAGUAUUGGGUAGGGGAGCGUUCUGUAAGCGGUUGAAGGUGUGUGGUAACGCAUGCUGGACGUAUCAGAAGUGCGAAUGCUGACAUGAGUAACGAUAAAGGGGGUGAAAAACCUCCUCGCCGGAAGACCAAGGGUUCCUGUCCAACGUUAAUCGGGGCAGGGUAAGUCGACCCCUAAGGCGAGGCCGAAAGGCGUAGUCGAUGGGAAACGGGUUAAUAUUCCCGUACUUCUUACAAUUGCGAUGGGGGGACGGAGAAGGCUAGGUGGGCCUGGCGACGGUUGUCCAGGUUCAAGUGCGUAGGCUUAAGAGUUAGGUAAAUCCGGCUCUUUCUAAGGCUGAGACACGACGUCGAGCACCUACGGGUGUGAAGUCAUUGAUGCCAUGCUUCCAGGAAAAGCCUCUAAGCUUCAGAUUGUAAGGAAUCGUACCCCAAACCGACACAGGUGGUCGGGUAGAGAAUACCAAGGCGCUUGAGAGAACUCGGGUGAAGGAACUAGGCAAAAUGGUACCGUAACUUCGGGAGAAGGUACGCUCUCGACGGUGAAGUCCCUCGCGGAUGGAGCUAUUGAGAGUCGCAGAUACCAGGUGGCUGCAACUGUUUAUUAAAAACACAGCACUGUGCAAAAUCGUAAGAUGACGUAUACGGUGUGACGCCUGCCCGGUGCCGGAAGGUUAAUUGAUGGGGUUAGACUUCGGUCGAAGCUCUUGAUCGAAGCCCCGGUAAACGGCGGCCGUAACUAUAACGGUCCUAAGGUAGCGAAAUUCCUUGUCGGGUAAGUUCCGACCUGCACGAAUGGCGUAAUGAUGGCCACGCUGUCUCCACCCGAGACUCAGUGAAAUUGAAAUCGCUGUGAAGAUGCAGUGUACCCGCGGCUAGACGGAAAGACCCCGUGAACCUUUACUACAGCUUGGCACUGAACAUUGACCCUACAUGUGUAGGAUAGGUGGGAGGCUUUGAAGCACGUACGCCAGUAUGUGUGGAGCCGUCCUUGAAAUACCACCCUUGUAGUGUUGAUGUUCUAACGUCGACCCCUAAUCGGGGUUGCGGACAGUGCCUGGUGGGUAGUUUGACUGGGGCGGUCUCCUCCCAAAGAGUAACGGAGGAGCACGAAGGUGGGCUAAUCACGGUUGGACAUCGUGAGGUUAGUGCAAUGGCAUAAGCCCGCUUGACUGCGAGAAUGACAAUUCGAGCAGGUGCGAAAGCAGGUCAUAGUGAUCCGGUGGUUCUGAAUGGAAGGGCCAUCGCUCAACGGAUAAAAGGUACUCCGGGGAUAACAGGCUGAUACCGCCCAAGAGUUCAUAUCGACGGCGGUGUUUGGCACCUCGAUGUCGGCUCAUCACAUCCUGGGGCUGAAGUCGGUCCCAAGGGUAUGGCUGUUCGCCAUUUAAAGUGGUACGCGAGCUGGGUUUAGAACGUCGUGAGACAGUUCGGUCCCUAUCUGCCGUGGGCGUUGGAAGAUUGAAGGGGGCUGCUCCUAGUACGAGAGGACCGGAGUGGACGAACCUCUGGUGUUCGGGUUGUGUCGCCAGACGCAUUGCCCGGUAGCUAAGUUCGGAAUCGAUAACCGCUGAAAGCAUCUAAGCGGGAAGCGAGCCCUGAGAUGAGUCUUCCCUGAUACUUUAAGUAUCCUAAAGGGUUGUCGGAGACUACGACGUUGAUAGGUCAGGUGUGUAAGUGCUGUGAGGCAUUGAGCUAACUGAUACUAAUUGCCCGUGAGGCUUAACCAUACAACACCCAAGGGGUUU